AGCAGAUCUGGAUGAGCACACGGUGUAAAUUGUUGCUGACUGAUCAAGCUGUCAUUACCACCCCAUCCUCACACCCCUAACACCCUCUGUUUGACCAACAGACCCAGGAGAGCACGUCGGGAUUUUUACAAACAGACUUUCCUGGGCGGUUUGUCAGUCAUUCCAGCCUUUCAAAGUGCUGAGAUACUGCCCUGGGUGGCCCAACAAGCCUAAAAGUGACAUCAACUAUUGUCGUGCAAUUUUGGUUUUGUGGUGCAAGUUACAUGUGGAUUUCAAAGCACUUGUGCAAGAAAAUUAAACUGAUCAAAACUGUGCAGUCAAUGACUUGCACAAAUUCACACCUCAGGUUUCUGCCUGCUCCUGGUCCAUGACUUCCCUUUCGGAUCCCACCACAAUGUUCCAGUCAUGUGGUUCCAGCCCCUUCCUUGUGAGAGGAGGUGAAGCACGAGCAGAGGCUGCCCAAAGAGGCAGCAGGAAUUCUUUCUUUGAAGAGUCUCAGAACUUAACAAGGCACUGAACAACUUGGAAAACUUUAACCUCAGUCCUGCUCAAAGAGGAGAGGAGACCAAAGGCUCCACAGGGCCUUUCCAAUCUGAACUACACUUAAGCCUGUCUUCCUUCACUGGGGCCAGCAGCAUUUCUGGAAAAUAUAAGAUGAGCACCAGUACAAAUGCCAGACUUGACUAUUUCUGGUAAAUGUGAGUCUAAUGAAAGCCCAUAAUGAGCAUCUGUCACCAUGGCAAGAAACACACAAGAUCCUUCAAAACAGAAGUGGCCAGUUCUGAUCUCACUUAGUACAAAUCAUUGUAAAGCAAAUUCAAUGAGUUUAAAACAGCAAGACAAUCAGAAGCAAAUAAACAAAAGUUCAGAAUUUUAAAUGCAAUUCUAAAGCAAAGGUUCCAAGUACUGAAUAUAAACUCCAUACUCUGGCGAGCUGCAGAUCUGCUGUUGUUACCAGCAGCCACCUUGCGGAGCUCCCCUCGGUAUCUUUCUUCAGCCUCCAGGAUGACUC